UCAGACUGAUAUUUGAGCUUGACUUGAGUAGCAGUUAUUUUGCAUUUGCAAAGCCUUCAAAGCGAUUUAUCAAAGCAUUCUUUCAACCUACAAGACACAGAAGAAGAUUACUUCAGACUGAGAAUGGAGCCUAGACGAUCUACACGUGUUCGCCAGCGCCCCCGGUGGUUCACCGACUACGUCGUGGACUUUCCUGUGCGAAGGUCCAGGGUGAAGCCGAUGGUGAUGGCUGAUGAUGCUCCUCAUCAUCCUGAGAAGGUUGCAGUGCUGCCUCUUCCUGAGGCUUUACAGGAGCUGCCUGUGGA